CCCGCCGGCCAUAGGAGGCAGGUAACGCCCGGGCUCAUAUCGAACCCGGAAGCUAAGCUGCCUCCGCGGCCUUACCCCGUAGGGUCCGCAAGGCCCUGCAGGGGGGCCGUGCUGGCAGGG
rnacentral:rRNA from 1 species